GAAAGUAUCUUCUCUUGAAGAAACUAUUCGUAGAUUUCCUCUAUAUGGGUAUAGACUAAGAAGUGUUUACAGUAGAGUCACAUGAUCAGUGCGUCAGAAAAUUGAUGGUAAGGGUAUCACACGAGCAUAUAGUGGAUAGAAACUCUGAUAUUGUCAAACCUCGAUCGAAGCGUGGCAACAACAUGACAAUCCCUCUCUAAACGAUCAGCACAACUUACUCCUAAUCAGUGGAGAAAGUUUUGCAUGAUAGUCAUUGGUUGAGACGUGGACAUUUAUGCACGAAUCUGAUCAUUUUUGCAUGCACAGAACGAAAUAUCUCAGCUGAAUUUUCAUGCUCUUUCUUCCUCCUCGUCUUUCGUGCAUCUAUACAGUAAUUGUUUAAUUUUCUUCCUCUGUAACUAUUUCGUCACAGUGAAUUUCGUGUCUAUUGAAUGUUGUAUACUGGCAAGUACCAUGUAUUUUAACUUGAAACAGUCAUACAAAGCUUUGGAGA